ensembl:misc_RNA Metazoa_SRP Metazoan signal recognition particle RNA
GCUGGGCAUGGUGGCUCAUGCCUGUAAUUCCAGCUAUUUGGGAGGCUGAGGCAGGAGAAUCACUUGAACCCAGGAGGCGGAGGUUGCAGUGAGCUGAGAUGGCGCCACUGCACUCCAGCCUGGGUGACAGAGUGAGACUCUGUCUCAA